rnacentral:misc_RNA from 1 species
UGGUUCUGGCAUNGAUGAAGAACGCAGCGAAAUGCGAUAAGUAAUGUGAAUUGCAGAAUUCAGUGAAUCAUCGAAUCUUUGAACGCACAUUGCGCCCUCUGGUAUUCCGGGGGGCAUGCCUGUUCGAGCGUCAUUACAACCCUCAAGCUCUGCUUGGUGUUGGGCGUCGCCCUCUGCGGCGCGCCUCAAAAUCAGUGGCGGCGCCAUCCGGCUUCAAGCGUAGUAAUUCUUCUCGCUCAGGGCCCCGGGUGUGUGCUUGCCAGCAACCCCAAUUUUUUCAGGUUGACCUCGGAUCAGGUAGGGAUACCCGCUGA